rnacentral:rRNA from 1 species
AAUUCGCCCUUAGAGUUUGAUUCUGGCUCAGGAUGAACGCUGGCGGCAUGCCUAAUACAUGCAAGUCGAACGGUAUCUUUGGAUACAGUGGCGAACGGGUGAGUAACACGUAGGGAACCUGGCCAUACCUGGGGGAUAAUUUCUGGAAACGGAAACUAAUACCGCAUGGGUUUUGCUUAAGCCUUUAAGCGAAAUGAAAGAAGCGCGAGACGCUUCGGGGAUGGAUGGUCCUGCGCUGCAUUAGCUGGCUGGUGAGGCAACGGCUCACCAGGGCGAUGAUGCAUAGCCGGCCUGAGAGGGCGGACGGCCACACUGGGACUGAGACACGGCCCAGACUCCUGCGGGAGGCAGCAGUAGGGAAUUUUCGUCAAUGGGGGCAACCCUGAACGAGCAAUGCCGCGUGAGCGAAGAAGGUCUUCGGAUUGUAAAGCUCUGUUGCCGGGGAAAAAGGAAGGAAAGACGAAAUGCUUUUCUUUGGAUGGUACCCGGCCAGAAAGUCACGGCUAACUACGUGCCAACAGCCCGCGGUAAUACGUACGUGGCAAGCG